rnacentral:lncRNA from 1 species
GUGAAUACCAGCCUGUUCGAUGGACAUUUUCCUCACACUAGCCAGUUGUAAAGCCCUGGAGAAAAUCUGAGCUGCUUUCUGAAAAUUGUCUAUGUCCUGUCACUUCAAGUAAGGAGAUUCUGUUUCAAAGCCAUUACUGUGAGGAAGCCCAUACUAAUCCAUACAGAGAGGCUGCAUGGAGAGGCCACUUGGGAAGGAAUAGAGGCCUGCAGCUGAAGGUCAUGAUAAACUCCCAGAUGUUGAAAAAGACACACAUCACACAUGGAGAUCACAUCUUUGGAGCCAAGGCAAUUGGAGUCUGGUAAAACCAAGAAGCAAAAUGUCCAUGAAAAAUAAGAGAAUGAGAUUCAUUAACUUAGGUUGAUUUCCUUAAGAGAUUGUGACCUGGAGAUUUGCUGCAGGGAGUUUAUUGGGAAGAACACUCUGGAGCAACACCAUUAAAGGGACAUUUAAUACAUUGGUUUAUAAGACUCAAUGGGCAGAACGGCUUGCACCACAUCCUGAUCUCUUGCUCUGGCCUCUAUGUAAUCCUGGAAGUAAAUCAAGAAUCGAUUAAAACACCAGGAAUGAACCCUCUCAUCAUGUGUAGACACAGAGAGAUGGAAGUCAUCUGCAAGCAAAGGAAUGAAGACCCUCAAAACCAAACCUACCAACAUCAUGAACUUGGAUAUUUAGCCUUCAGAACUUUGAAAAGAUAGAGUUAUUUAAACAUCUUAGUGAGAAAUAUUUUUAUGGAAGUCUUAGCAAAUUAAUGGAGUCAGUUUUCUCAAGAGGCUUAUGUUUUAGAGAGUUUUAGCUUCAGGGAAAAAUUGAGCAAAAUAUAGAGAAGGAAUAUUUUCCACAGUGCCUCUACACAUGCGUAGCUUCCUACGUUAUUAACAAUCACCAACAGAAUGGUACAUUUGUUAUAAUUGUUGAAGUUUUGUGACACAUAAUUAUUAUCCAAAGUCCAUGUUAUACAGAGGGUUCAUAGUUGGUGUUGAAUAUUUCCUGGAUUAAAAAAAUGUGUAAUGUAUUUAUUUACCUUUAUAGUACUAUACAAAUAGUUUCACUGGUGAAAAGAAAAAUCUUCUAUGCUCUAUUAGUCCUUCUCCAUAACCCCUGAAACCACUGGUCUUUUUAUUAUCUCCACAUAUUUUUAUUUUUCAGAAUUUUUGAGCAGUUGAAGUCAAACUAUCUAAAAGGAUUUGAAUUUGGCUUUUGCCACAUAGUAAUGUAC